rnacentral:rRNA from 1 species
GACGUAGGAGGCGAGCGUUUGUCCGGAUUCAUUGGGCGUAAAGAGCGCGCAGGCGGCUUGGUAAGUCGGAUGUGAAAUCCCGAGGCUCAACCUCGGGUCUGCAUCCGAUACUGCCCGGCUAGAGGUAGGUAGGGGAGAUCGGAAUUCCUGGAUGUGAGCGGUGAAAUGACGCAGAUAUCAGGAGGAACACCGGUGGCGAAGGCGGAUCUCUGGGGCCUUACCUGACGCUCAGGCGCGAAAGCUAGGGGAGCGAACUGG